AACACAGUUUAUAUUUCACUUUCACAUAGAGAGAUUUUUGUGAGUGAAAGGUCCAUUAACAAAACACAGUUCAUCUUUUAUUUACAGAAAGAAAUGUAUAACUACAAAACACAGUUCAUCUUUUACUUACAGAAAGAAAUGUAUAACUACAAAACACAGUUCAUCUUUUACUUUCAGAAAGAAAUAUGUGUGUCUAUAAAAC